GUCUGGGAUAGCUCAGUUGGUAGAGGAUGAGAUUCUUAAUCUUAGGGUCAUAGGUUGGGCAAAAAAAUUCCUGCAUUGCAGGGGAUUGGACA